rnacentral:rRNA from 1 species
CGAUUAAGCCAUGCAAGUCGAACGAGUUUAGACUCGUGGCGUACGGCUCAGUAACACGUGGAUAACCUACCCUUAGGACCGGGAUAACCUUGGGAAACUGAGGAUAAUACUGGAUAGGCAAUUAUUCCUGUAAUGGUUUUUUGUUUAAAUGUUUUUUCGCCUAAGGAUGGGUCUGCGGCCGAUUAGGUAGUUGGUUAGGUAAUGGCUUACCAAGCCUUUGAUCGGUACGGGUUGUGAGAGCAAGAGCCCGGAGAUGGAACCUGAGACAAGGUUCCAGGCCCUACGGGGUGCAGCAGGCGCGAAACCUCCGCAAUGUGAGAAAUCGCGACGGGGGGAUCCCAAGUGCCAUUCUUAACGGGAUGGCUUUUCUUUAGUGUAAAAAGCUUUUGGAAUAAGAGCUGGGCAAGACCGGUGCCAGCCGCCGCGGUAACACCGGCAGCUCUAGUGGUAGCAAUUUUUAUUGGGCCUAAAGCGUCCGUAGCCGGUUUAAUAAGUCUCUGGUGAAAUCCUGUAGCUUAACUGUGGGAAUUGCUGGAGAUACUAUUAGACUUGAGACCGGGAGAGGUUAGAGGUACUCCCAGGGUAGAGGUGAAAUUCUGUAAUCCUGGGAGGACCGCCUGUUGCGAAGGCGUCUAACUGGAACGGUUCUGACGGUGAGGGACGAAAGUUAGGGGCGCGAACCGGAUUAGAUACCCGGGUAGUCCUAACUGUAAACGAUGCGGACUUGGUGUUGGGGUGGCUUUGAGCUGCUUCAGUGCCGAAGGGAAGCUGUUAAGUCCGCCGCCUGGGAAGUACGGUCGCAAGACUGAAACUUAAGAAUUGGCGGGGGAGCA